rnacentral:rRNA from 1 species
UACCAGCUCUCCGAGUGGUAGGGAUGAUUAUUGGGCUUAAAGCGUCCGUAGCCGGCUUAGCAAGUUUCCUGUUAAACUCAGCGACCUAAUCGUUGAAUCGCGGGAAAUACUACUAGGCUAGGAGGCGGGAGAGGUUGACGGUACUUCCGGGGUAGGGGUGAAAUCCUAUAAUCCCGGGAGGACCACCAGUGGCGAAGGCUGUCGACUAGAACGCGCUCGACGGUGAGGGACGAAAGCUGGGGGAGCGAACCGGAUUAGAUACCCGGGUAGUCCCAGCUGUAAACGAUGCGGGCUAGGUGUUGGGGUGGCUACAAGCCACUUCAGUGCCGCAGGGAAGCCAUUAAGCCCGCCGCCUGGGGGGUACGCCGCAAGGCUGAAACUUAAAGGACUUGGCGGGGGAGCACCACAAGGCGUGAAGCUUGCGGUUC